rnacentral:rRNA from 1 species
GAUGAACGCUGGCGGCGUGCUUAACACAUGCAAGUCGAACGGAAAGGCCCCUGCUUGCAGGGGUACUCGAGUGGCGAACGGGUGAGUAACACGUGGGUGAUCUGCCCUGCACUUCGGGAUAAGCCUGGGAAACUGGGUCUAAUACCGGAUAGGACCACAUUUUGGAUGGUGUGGUGGAAAGUUUUUCGGUGUGGGAUGAGCUCGCGGCCUAUCAGCUUGUUGGUGGGGUAAUGGCCUACCAAGGCGUCGACGGGUAGCCGGCCUGAGAGGGUGUACGGCCACAUUGGGACUGAGAUACGGCCCAGACUCCUACGGGAGGCAGCAGUGGGGAAUAUUGCACAAUGGGCGCAAGCCUGAUGCAGCGACGCCGCGUGGGGGAUGACGGCCUUCGGGUUGUAAACUCCUUUCGCUAGGGACGAAGCGCAAGUGACGGUACCUGGAGAAGAAGCACCAGCUAACUACGUG